UACGAAGGGGGCUAGCGUUGCUCGGAAUCACUGGGCGUAAAGGGCUCGUAGGCGGCCAACUAAGUCAGACGUGAAAUCCCUCGGCUUAACCGGGGAACUGCGUCUGAUACUGGAUGGCUUGAGAUUGGGAGAGGGAUGCGGAAUUCCAGGUGUAGCGGUGAAAUGCGUAGAUAUCUGGAGGAACACCGGUGGCGAAGGCGGCAUCCUGGACCAACACUGACGCUGAUGAGCGAAAGCCAGGGGAGCAAACGGG
rnacentral:rRNA from 1 species